rnacentral:tRNA from 1 species
AGUUUAUUUGUAUUGCCUUGAAAGCAAUUAAAAGAAUAUUAGUUCUAUAAGCUU